rnacentral:tRNA from 1 species
UCUAGCUUAGUAUAUUUAAUACAUUCGAUUUUCGUCUUAUAGUGCUUGAGAAAGCGUGUGUUAUUUUUA